rnacentral:rRNA from 1 species
UACGGAGGGUGCGAGCGUUGUUCGGAAUCACUGGGCUUAAAGGGCGCGUAGGCGGGCUGUCAAGUCUGGGGUGAAAUGCCGCGGCUCAACCGUGGAACUGCCUUAGAUACUGACGGCCUCGAGGGAGGUAGGGGCGUGCGGAACUGUAGGUGGAGCGGUGAAAUGCGUUGAUAUCUACAGGAACUCCGGUGGCGAAAGCGGCGCGCUGGACCUCUUCUGACGCUGAGGCGCGAAAGCUAGGGGAGCAACAGGGG